CACACACACACACACACGAGCGGCCAAUUUUAGCCCUCGCGGUUUCCCACGAGCGAAAUCUCAUCGGAGACGAAGCAGGGAGCAAAACCCAAACAAACACGGAGCGCAGGGAAACGGGAGGGGGGAUAGUGAGGGGGGGCUCACUUUCUCCUCGUGCGCCAUCGGUAAAACACAUAUAGGGGCCACUUCGGGAUUUGCCCGGGGAUGGGUUGGAGAGCAGCUGGCUGCGGUAAUCGCAUCGGCAGACAAAGGAAUGCCCCGCCGGUCCUGGGAUCACAGAUUUGCCGAAGGGAGAGCGAUCCACCAGGGAGGGCGGCAACCCAGCCGUCCCGGCCGGGGGUGGUCACCGCGCAGUCCCCGCUCCGCACACCGCGAGCGAGCACCUCCGCGGGGGCGGCCCGGGGGAGCGGGGUGCGGAGACACGCGGUUGGGAGCGAAAAAGCGCCAUUUGGUUGGGAGCAGAUGGCUGGCUGGGGGGCUGAUCGCGUCUAAAGGCGUGUCAUCCCCCUUCAGCGAGAAUCCCUAAGGACUCCCCUUGUCUUCAAAAUCAAUGAAAAUUAAAGUGCAGAGAAUGGAUGAAUAGUUA